rnacentral:rRNA from 1 species
GACGAACGCUGGCGGCGUGCUUAACACAUGCAAGUCGAACGAAGUGGCGAACGGGUGAGUAACGCGUAAUCAACCUGCCCUUCAGAGGGGGACAACAGUUGGAAACGAAUGCUAAUACCGCAUACUGAAGGAGGGGAUUGCGUGUGAUUAGCUAGUUGGGGGGGUAACGGCCCACCAAGGCGAGGAUCAGUAGCCGGUCGGAGAGGAUGACCGGCCACAUUGGAACUGAAACACGGCCCAGACUCCUACGGGAGGCAGCAGUGGGGAAUUUUGGACAAUGGGCGCAAGCCUGAUCCAGCCAUGCCGCGUGUCUGAAGAAGGCCUUCGGGUUGUAAAGGACUUUUGUCAGGGAGGCGGUACCUGAAGAAUAAGCACCGGCUAACUACGUGCCAGCCGCCGCGGUAAUAC